ACCCCUGCCUGCAGGGCUGGGGACAUCUGACAAUGCUUUCAAAGGAGCAUGUUAGGGCUCUAAUUAGACCAGGUUCCCCCUCCCCCUGCUCUGGCCCCAAACUGGCCUUGCCUCUAACUAGAGCUGCUGUUCUCAGUCACAUUGGCUUUUAAUGCCCAUAGAACCAGAACCCAUACGCCCUCCUUUCUGGGUGCCCAAACCCAGCAGGGAGAGGUGGGCAGCCCCGCAGGCUCUCAGCUGGGCCAACAUGAACUAGCCUGCUGGCUGUUGUUCCCCGUGGCUGUUGCUCCUAGAUCUGUUCUUUUGAACUCCAGAUCAGAAAAGAAAAUAGCUGGAGAGAUAGACACCUGGAGCCGAGGUGGGACUGGGAGGAGCAGGGACGAGAUCCAAGAGUUUCCAGAAGCUCAGGCCUCUGACUGCAUCCUGGGAGAGGCAGAGGGACCCAGCUCCAGGGCUAGAGGGUGGGGCCAAGGGGGUCCCUGGGGUAGAAACCCUGGCUUCUCUUGGCCUUAGUUGUAUGCGUUGAUUAGUAGUCCCAAGAAUGCAUUCAUCUGUCAACACAGGCUCAUUAAAGGCUCACAGAAGCCUGGCAGCGCAGGCAGGACUGAUGAGGGAAUCAAAGCCCAGGGAGGCCAAGACCACAUGGUUUGGGAGGCGCUAUGGAUGGGGUUCACAUCUAGGUCUCUUGAUGACUUCCUUCCCUAAACAUCCCUGAGCAUCUCUGCACUAGGGCCACGUCCCUAUCCUCAGAGAUGGCCCCAUCAAGGAGGGGACAUUAGCCAUUCACACAAUAAUGCGAUGGAGGGGACAGCUGUUGGCUUCACAGUGGCCACUUGAAGUGCAGGGCAGGGAGGCCCUGCAGCCAGGAUGGUCCUGCUCUGUCAUUGUGCAGGAACUCAGUCUCUAGGAGUCCGUCAGUUCUGACACCUGCACCCAGGGAAAGACAUCUACUUCCCCUUGGGGCUUGGAAAUAGCCACAGGACUAAUAAACCACCCACACUUCUCAUUCAAGGCUCCUCCCAUUCUCAAGGUAAACUUCCAAGCUGCUCUACCCGUUUUAUAGGUAAGGAAAUCAAGGCCCAGAAGUGAAACCACUGCCUAAGCUUAUAUAGCCAGUAGAUGUGGGAAUGGGGGCCUAGAAUCCAACCUUUGCUACCAGUUACUAGGACUUAAUUGGUUUAGGUUCACUGUUUACGUUGUAUUCUCUCUAAUUCCCACAAAACCUUGCAAAGAGAGCUAUUAUUCUUUCUCUUCUACAACUGAAAAAAGCUGAGGCUAAAGGCUUAGAUGUGCUUCCUAAAGACCACAAGCUCAGGUCUGCUUGGCCCCAAAGCCAGCUCCUUCCAGCCUACCAAGCUAAGCGUGGGAGACGGCUCCACCUCCCCUGGGCUGGGAAGACCACCCAGACCCCUGAGGCCCAAGACAGCUACUGAGCCUUUGCUUGUUCCUGAGUAGGUAGGAUGCAGAUUCUACUUUUGGUCCAAAUAUCAAGGAAAUAGGACAUUUUGGGCUUAGGGAGUCAGCCCUGCUCAAAGGGGUGUGCAGAUAGCAUUCCCUGUCCACUGUUGCCGCGACGUUUCUUCACUUGGUCUUCAGGUCAUCCUCCGCCCUGCCUGGGGUUCUGUGCCCAGAGCCUCUCCAGGCUGAGCAGAGGCUGCCCAAAGCCUCCCUGGGCUCAGAGGGAAACUCCACAGGCUUCAGCCCCUGCCCCCCAUGACCUGUGAGAAAGGAGCCUGUCACCCACAGCUGCAGGCCCGGCCUGUCCGCAAAGCCGAAGUGGCAGAGGUGGCAGGUGGGGCAGCUUGGGUCACACUCUGGUCUCCUCCUCCUUAACCACAGUCCUCUGGCUUCCCACGUCUGGCUCUUACCCUCCCUCCUCUGGGGAGCUAUUCACUCACUCACUCACUCAUUCACUUACUCAUUCAUCCACUCACUCAUUCACUCACUUAUUCACUCUCACUCAUUUAUUCACUCACUCACCUAUUCACUUAUUCACUCACUCUUUCACUCACUCACUCAUUUAUUCACUCAUUCACUCACUCAUUCACCCAUUUGCUCAUUCACUCACUUGUUCACUCAUUCACUCACUCAUUCACCCAUUCACUCACUCAUUCACUCACUCGUUCACUCAUUCACUCACUCAUUCACCCAUUCACUCACUCAUUCACUCACUCACUCAUUCACUCAUUCAUUCACUCACCCACUUACUCAUUCACUCAUUCAUUCACCCAUUCACUCAUUCACUCACUCACUCAUUCACUCACUCACCCACUUACUCAUUCACUCACUCACUCAUUCACUCACUCAUUCACUCACCCACUCACUCAUUCUCUCACUCAUUCACUCAUUUAUUCACUCACCCACUUACUCACUCACUCAUUCACUCACUCAUUCUCUCAUUCACCCACUCAUUCUCUCAUUCACUCACUCAUCCACUCACUCACUCAUUCCCUCACUCAUUCACUCACUUAUUCAUCCAUUCACCCACUUGUUCACUCAUUCACCCACUCAUUCACUCAGUCACUCACUCAUUCACUCACUCACUCACUCACUCACUCAUUCACUCACUCACUCGCUCAAAAGUAUUUUUUAACUGCUGCCGUCUCUGGAAGACACAGAACAAACAAGACACAGCCACUUGCCUAGGAGAUUGCACUCGGUAGAAUAAUGUGCUCCCAUCCAAAGAUGCCCACAUCCUAAUUUCCAGAAACUGUGGGUGUGUUACCUUACAAGGCAAAAGGGACCUUGCUGAUGCAAUUAAGUUAAGAAUCUUGAGAUGGGAAGAUUAUUCUGGAUUAUCUGAGUGGGCCCAAUAGCACCACAAAGAUCCUUAUGAGGAGGCAGGGUCAGAGGAAGGGAGAGACACAGAGGAAGAGAGGAAAAAACAGAGAGAGAUGUGAAGAUGCUGUACUGCUGGCUUUGAAGCUGGAGGAAGGGGCCAUGAGCCAAGGAAUGCGGGUGGCCUCUAGAAGUAGAAAAGACAGAUUCUGCCCUCAAACCUGCAGGAGGAACACAGACCUACCCACAUCUUGAUUUUAGCUCAGUGAAAGCCAUCUGGGCCUUCUGACCUUUAAAAAUGUGAGAUAUUACAUUUGUGGGCCAGGCAUGGUGGCUCAUGCCUAUAAUCCUAGGACUUUGGGAGGUGGAGGAGGGUGGAUUGCUUGAGCUCAGGAGUUUGAGACCAGCCUGGGCAACAUAAUGAGACCCCAUCUCUACAAAAAUUAGCUGGACGUGGUGGCCUGCACCUGUAGUCCCAACUACUCAAGAGGCUGAGGUGAGAGGUUGGCUUGGACCCAGGAGAAGGAGGUCGCAGCGAGCUGAGAUUGAACCACUGCACUCCAGCCUGGCGACAGAGCC
rnacentral:lncRNA from 10 species